rnacentral:tRNA from 1 species
GCUCUCGUCGUCUAAUGGCUAUGAUAUCAGAUUCCUACCAUUACGGCUAGAACGAUCUGAAGGUUCCGGGUUCGAGUCCCGGCGGGAGUA